UUUACAUACAAAACUCUUUUUUGUUUAUUUUUUGGUCUUUUGUUUUGUUUUGUUUCGGGGGGAAAGAAGUGGUUUUCUUUGUCAUCCUGGUCCUUAAUAGUAUUAGCCAAGGCUCCUCUCAGCUGCUCUCCUGCCCUGCUCUGCCCUCUACAGCCCUCUCUUGGAAGGACUCCCCUCUCCACCAGUAGAGGACGCCAAUGUGACAUGAAGGCUGCUGGGAAAUGUAGUCCAUGGUCUUAAAGGGUCUGCUCUGAGUCCCAGGAACCCCUCCUCUAGCUGCAGGAUGGGCUUAAACCUUUUAAGCCUAGAAUUUACAACAGUUUGGGGGCCUUUCUCUCUUGGUUCUUCAAUUAGCCCUAUCCAGAACACUUUGCAAAGCUUAAGGAGAGCCCAGGGCUGUUCACAACUUCCCCUUCCUCUAAGGCCUCCAGCACAGUGAGGUAAUGGAAUUGUGAUUAUGACAUCAUGGACAGUUCAGCUGCUUGCACUGGGGGAAAGGGAGAGUAUCAUGGUUACAGCUGGAUCACCUAAGGCAGAGAGGGAAGGAACCAACAGGUAUAUGAAGAAGACUGUAUUUCCUCCUCAGGAAGAAAAAAUCACCUAUAAUGAAUUACAACAGGAGAAAUUCAGACAUCCAUGCCAUGGGUGCUAAUGCAUUUUUAGAAGCUGAAAAGAUCCAUGGCUAUAACUGCUACCAAGCUCUGGGCUGCAGUAGUGUAUCAUCCAUAACGCAAAUAAGGUGCCUAAACCCUAUAUUGAAGGCUACAGAGAGGACUACAUUGAGACUUGGCAAAGUCCUAUAGAAGUUUUGUUUUCUUAUGGUAAACUAAUACAACAUAUAGCAUUGAUACAAAGGAUGCACUAAAGGAUGGACACAAAUGAAAGAACUGAGACAUGAAUUUGUUCUUAAGAAAAUUAUUCUCCAUUCUUUGAGAAGUCAACUGAAUAGGAUGAAGAAACUGCUCUAUGUUAUCAAGUUUUUAAAUUUUGUAUUUACUUAUUUACUUUUGUUGUUACUUAAAUCAACUUUAAAAUAAAAUAAAAUUUAUAUUUGAGUACAAAA
rnacentral:lncRNA from 1 species